rnacentral:rRNA from 1 species
AGUUGCCAGCAUUUAGUUGGGCGACUCUAAAGGGACUGCCGGUGUUAAACCGGAGGAAGGUGGGGAUGACGUCAAGUCCUCAUGGCCUUUAUGCCUAGGGCUACACACGUGCUACAAUGGGCGGUACAAAGGGUUGCAAUCCCGCGAGGGGGAGCCAAUCCCAAAAAGCCGUUCUCAGUUCGGAUUGGAGUCUGCAACUCGACUCCAUGAAGUUGGAAUCGCUAGUAAUCGUGGAUCAGCAUGCCACGGUGAAUACGUUCCCGGGCCUU